GUCUAUGGCCUGCCACCCUGAACGUGCCCGAUCCCAUCCGAUCUCGGAAGCUAAGAAGGGUUGAGCCUGGUUAGUACUUGGAUGGGCGACCACCUAGGAAGACCAGGUGCUGUAGGUA
rnacentral:rRNA from 1 species